UGAGGAAUAUUGGUCAAUGGACGAGAGUCUGAACCAGCCAAGUAGCGUGAAGGAUGACUGCCCUAUGGGUUGUAAACUUCUUUUAUAUGGGAAUAAAACGUUCCACGUGUGGGAUUUUGUAUGUACCAUAUGAAUAAGGAUCGGCUAACUCCGUGCCAGCAGCCGCGGUAAUACGGAGGAUCCGAGCGUUAUCCGGAUUUAUUGGGUUUAAAGGGAGCGUAGGUGGAUUGUUAAGUCAGUUGUGAAAGUUUGCGGCUCAACCGUAAAAUUGCAGUUGAAACUGGCAGUCUUGAGUACAGUAGA
rnacentral:rRNA from 1 species